rnacentral:rRNA from 1 species
GACGGGGGGUCCUAGCGUUGUUCGGAAUCAUUGGGCGUAAAGCGGGUGUAGGUGGUUUUGUAAGUCAGGAGUGAAAGCCCUGGGCUCAACCCAGGAAGUGCUUUUGAUACUGCAAAACUUGAGUGUGGGAGAGGAUCGUGGAAUUCCUAGUGUAGUGGUGAAAUACGUAGAUAUUAGGAGGAACACCGGUGGCGAAGGCGGCGGUCUGGCCCAACACUGACGCUCAGACCCGAAAGCGUGGGGAGCAAACAGG